AGUAUCUAAUGCUAAAAUAAACCUACGCCUAAAUCCCCAUCUGACCACAAAUGAGCAUCAGCGAAAAUAAUACAAAGAAAAGGCUAAGGAGGCAGCGCCGUCUACUCUGGAAAAAGCUAAAAAAAACGGCUGAACCUUUGAUUCUCGAACCUAACGCCUCUGACCCAUUUUCCAUAUUUGGUGCCUUUUCUUUUCUUCUUCUUUGAAUACACAACAUACACAUAGAUACAGUAGAGGUUGAAAAACAGAGAAAACAAAUAAAAUUCCAUGUAAAUCAAAACCAAAAAAACACAUAUAGAGAUCUUGUUUUUUCUUCUCGAUUUUGGACUUUGGCUCUUAAAGAAUGGAUUUCAGUCUGAGUUAGGGUGUUGUUCGAGCUUUGCUCUUGAUUCGUGGAUCCUGACUGCGAAUUCAGUUGCGGAUCGCUGACUCGCUGUUCCGAUUUUUGUUCGUGUUGCCGGAUCUGCUUGUAGCUUUUGGAUCUUUCACUAAUUUAAUGAAGCUCAUCUGAGGUCUACAAGCGGGAGAACGACAUAAUAUUUUGGCCAAUGUCCGAAUAAAACUUGGACCUGAUUUUUGAGCAGCAUUCCUACUUCCCACGGUUUUGUUGGGUUUCACAAAACAAAUAUAUCAUUAAAGAUUCUGGCCAAGUCAAGACAUGAAAGAUUUUGGAGAGGCGAUUACUAAUGGUGCUAUGCAAUCUCACUUGGGCCCGAGGUGUAUCGGUCGAAAUCUGACCAAACAAGAAUCUUUGUAAAGAGGGACGGCUAGUCACUUAGGCAGAGUCGUAUUCUUACAACGCUAUAGCAACAAGUACAUCAGCCGUACUCAGAAGGCUUGUACGAUGAAUUGGAUAACACGACAUUUCGGAGGGUCAGUCUGUAAUUCAGUUAAAUAACUUUGACACUCUGGCUAAUGACCAUUGUAUAAAUGAGAAUACUCAGUAUAUAUACUAGGUAAGAGAACAAAGAAAAAGAGAGGGGGAAGAGAAAAACUCAUAGACACAUAUAGACUUUUCCAGAAAGGAAAAAGGAUCUUCAACUCUUUCUCCUCGAGAAGGGGGAAGGGGAAAGGAAGUGCAGAUCCUCAGUAUGCAUCAUUAAUUUCAUUUUGUCAAAUGUAUGGGGGUCAACCUUGUUCAAGAACGAUGACCCUUUUUAUCUAUGUGUUCUUCAUUAUCAUUUAGUGUUAAGAAAAUCACCACCCUUUUCUCACA